AUGCAGAAGUAAACAGUGUUCUGGCCGCCACCACCACCACCACUAUUACUACCACUACUACUACUACUACCACUACCACUACUAUGGGUAGAAAAAGUCUGUUUUUACUUCUUUUAAUGGUGACAAGUACUACCUGUAAAUUUUUCACAAUGUUUCAUCCUAAGGGGCAAUCAUGCAAGGCAGCCAUGACCUCGUAUAAGAAUGGGCUGUUCCCGGAAAAUUAUGUACUGGUUCCUGGAGGGGAGCUGAGAGUGAUAUCAAUUCUGGAGACAAAACUCCCAGCCAGCAUUCGGUUUUUCAUCUGCCCUCAAGAGGUUCCCAUAAGUUAUAAUGGACUGUGGAGAUUUAAUUGCAGUGACAGGAUACCACUGCUGGUGAAAACUGACCCGUAUCUCUCUCUCCUCGACCACAAGUUAUUGAAACACAAAAACAUGACCUUGACACAGCUUAAAUUACCUGAUGGAUUUACCUGUCGCCGCUGUGGCCUUCAGGCCCAGGCGUUCCUCUACAGGUGUCCGAACUGCCACCCAUACCACAGUGAAAUAUCGUGUUCAUUUCUCUCCAUUGGGAUCCCAAGACCUGAUGGUGACACGUCUUCGAGUCAAACAAGCAGCAGUAACGAGAGCAGCAAGGAAACAAGCGAGGAGGAGAGUGAAAACAGCAGUGGGGAAUCUUCAAAUGAAAGUAGUGGUAGAAGUAGUGGUGUUAGAAGCAGUGAGGAGAGGAAAUUUCACUAUAAUAUGAAGCGUUUGGGUUAGUUUCGUGUGUGUGUGUGUGUUUGUGUGUGUGUGGUGAAGGGAAGGGAGGUUUGGUUAGGUUUGGUUAGGUUAUAGACACUUGUAUUGCCAGAAAUUAAGCUUUAGUGUUGAUUGGGGUGAAAAAGUUACGUUAGGUUAGGUUAGGUUAGAUUUUUUUUUGGUCAUUAUAUAAAAAAAAAACAAUGGUAGUGAUAGUGAUGAAUAAAGAUUGGAUUUUGUCAUUAUACAGGACAAUAAUGAUGGUGACAAUGAUGACGAUGAAUAAGACUCUUAAUGUAACCUGCAAUUGUACUCUUUUAAAAGCACCAUAUGACUUAAUAAAGAAAAAGAAUUACA